GACUUUUAAUUUCUUUCCCUGCACAGUUUGAACUGUUGUUUACUGCAGGUACAUACAUUUUCCAGGGCUGCUGUUUUCUUUCCAACAGCAUGGUGUUGCAUCAAAAAGGGAGUGUAUUCUACCAGACACCACCUAUGGUGAACUUCAAACCGACCGCUGGCUGUCAGACGGCAUUGUACUAGCCUGGCACGCCGUUACCCCCAUCCUGCAAAUAGGAUGCUCACAGAGUGUCUGCUGUCCCUAAGCAAUGCAGCCUUAGGUGGAUGUCAUCGCUACCCUGAGGACGCUGAACCACUGGGAAGAUUUCUAUAACCAGCCUACCUGAUUUGUGAAGAGGAGACUGAAAGCAACUGUAUGGACAGGCACUUUGGAGCAGCUGUAAUUUGCAGCAUGGCUGUUGCACAGAAAUACGCAUCUGCUCCCCGACAGUUGCUGAUGCACCAGAGCUGAAGCCUCUCCAGGCACUAAGCAGCACUGGAGGCUGAGACGUUCCUCACAUGCCUGUUUUCCAUCAGCAAAACUCAGUUGAUUUCAGUCCAGUGAGUCCCGACUUACACCAGUGUGCUUUUCAAAGCCAGAAGGAAGUUUCUACACAAAAAGCUAUGCUGGAAGAUUAGGUGUGAAUGGAAAAGCUCCAGUUAAACCAGUUCAUUCCUCACUGGGACACUCCAGCCAAGAUAUAAGGACC